CGAUGUCGAUUUGGAGGUUGUGCCCUUGAGGCGUGGCUUCCGGAGCUAACGCGUUAAAUCGACCGCCUGGGGAGUACGGCCGCAAGGUUAAAACUCAAAUGAAUUGACGGGGGCCCGCACAAGCGGUGGAGCAUGUGGUUUAAUUCGAUGCAACGCGAAGAACCUUACCUACUCUUGACAUCCAGAGAACUUUCCAGAGAUGGAUUGGUGCCUUCGGGAACUCUGAGACAGGUGCUGCAUGGCUGUCGUCAGCUCGUGUUGUGAAAUGUUGGGUUAAGUCCCGCAACGAGCGCAACCCUUAUCCUUUGUUGCCAGCGAUUCGGUCGGGAACUCAAAGGAGACUGCCGGUGAUAAACCGGAGGAAGGUGGGGAUGACGUCAAGUCAUCAUGGCCCUUACGAGUAGGGCUACACACGUGCUACAAUGGCGUAUACAAAGAGAAGCGAACUCGCGAGAGCAAGCGGACCUCAUAAAGUACGUCGUAGUCCGGAUUGGAGUCUGCAACUCGACUCCAUGAAGUCGGAAUCGCUAGUAAUCGUAGAUCAGAAUGCUACGGUGAAUACGUUCCCGGGCCUUG
rnacentral:rRNA from 1 species